CCUCUUUCAUUUGCCACUAACUGCUAAGUGAAAAUAGCCACCUGCCACCGUCUGGCAUCAAUUCACCCUGUUCCCCUUGAGCAAGCCUCAGUGCCUCCCACUCCUCAAGCCUGACGACUUCUGGAAAGCCCAGCUCGGCUUCCGGGUUCAGGAUGGCAUGCUGUCUUUGUAAGAGGUGAGGUGAGGUCUGUGGGGCAUGACGGAAGCAGCUAUGGAGGCAAGGUCUUCAGCGGAGUAAUGAGGUUUAAACCAGUCGGCGAGCUGAGCAGCACCAAAGGUGAAGCUGGCCUUGAACUCGCUGCACAACCAAGACUAACUUUGAACUCCUGAUCUUCCGAUGUCUACCUCUGAAGGGCUGAGAUUACAGAAGUGGGCCACCAUACCCAGCUGGUUUUAUUUUCCUGAUUGUGU